AUCGAGUCCUCCCAAGCACCAGCCCCUUGUUGAAGACCGUGUCCAAGGCUUCAUCUGCCUAUCACAGUUCACGUCUCUGGUUUCUCGCUAGCCUGUUCUGGUGCCCUGCUGCUGCUUGAAUUUCUCCAUCCUCCAAGACUGUCAAGAAUCUGACAGCUCUGCUAACGAAAGCUGCAGACCCUCGGUUCGGUUCCAUCGCCCUUUCUCUGGGCUGGUGUGUGAAGCUCCGGAUCUGUGACCUCACUAGAAUCAGUGUGCGCAAGAGGAUCAGCAAUGCAGGGCAAAGAUGACUGGUGAGACACACGUCUACACAAACGCAUACAGUAGUAAGUAAGUGCUGCUCCACCAAGCUGAGAAGAAAUGGCCCUUGGCUGUCCUCGGGGCCAGUGCUAGGAACUCUGGACCAGCCGUCUGUAGUGGGGCAUGACUUCGUGCUCGGGCAAGUGGAGGGCGAAUUCCAAGGCCACUAACACCGGGAAUUCAAAGGCAAUCAGUUCUCGCCUGUUCAGCCGGAACUUCUCUUCCAGUUUCUGCAACAAAAAGAAAAUCAAAAGCAUGUUCAUUUUGAAAUUAAAAUCCUAGUCUUUC
rnacentral:lncRNA from 1 species